rnacentral:rRNA from 1 species
UACGUAGGGGGCAAGCGUUGUCCGGAAUCAUUGGGCGUAAAGAGCGUGUAGGCGGCCCGGUAAGUCCGCUGUAAAAGUCAAAGGCUCAACCUUUGAAUGUCAGUGGAUACUGCCGGGCUAGAGUCCGGAGGAGGCGAGUGGAACUCCUGGUGUAGCGGUGGAAUGCGCAGAUAUCAGGAAGAACACCAACGGCGAAGGCAGCUCGCUGGGACGGUACUGACGCUGAGACGCGAAAGCGUGGGGAGCGAACAGG